rnacentral:pre_miRNA from 1 species
GAGACACUCUUCUAGGGCAAGACUUGCUUCAAUGGGGCUUUGGUGGUCACUGAGUCUGCCCCCUGAGUGUGUCCCU